rnacentral:lncRNA from 1 species
AGCCAGGUGACUAGCUCAAUCAAUCAAUGGGAUGCCAGAGAUAAAGCCAGGUCUUUAAGGAAGAAUGGGAGCCUCAUUACUCUUCCACAGAGAGCUCUUCCACUGUCUGCAGGCAGAGAGGUCUGAGGCCUCAGGGGCUGGAGGAAACGUAGAGUGGAAGGAAUGUGGGUCCCUGAAUCACUGCCUUUGGGAAGAGCAUCCGCUGCAGCCAGGGGUGCUGGCACUGGACCCUUACAUAGGAGUAAGCCCAGUGCCCCCUGCCUCUCAGGACUGCUAUCAGGAUGAAAGAAACAGAGAUCCUUCCUUGAGCCAUCGCCCUGUGCAGUGGACUGGAUAUGGGUGUGAGCCGGACCCGGUGUCCUGCUUUUUCAGCCCGGGCCCACUCCUCGGCGGCCAUCCCUUGUCUUCUCCUAUGAAGGACCCCAGCUCCAUGUGCAGCGGCCUCCUGGAGAGGAUUUGCCAAGAACUGGAGCUGGGAGGAGCGUGCCAUGGAGGGUUUCCUCUCAUUCAUCAGGAGUAAGAGCUCUAUGGCAGUCAGACCUCCACAGGCCUGGCUCUGCUCUGACCUGCUGGUUUUGAACCCAGGCUGGUCUGGCUGAAUUCACAGCCUGCACAUCUGUAACUUGUAGGUCAUCACUUCCUUCCGUGUCUACAGCACCGAGAUAUUGCAAGAAUCAAAUCAGAGAAUACGGAUGUGAGAGAACUCAGCAGAUGUUUAUAGCAGGCUUACUAUGUACAUGGCACUGUGUUAAAUGAUGAUGAUUCAAAGAAAACCAACCAACCUAUCUACCAACCAACCAACCAACCAACCAACCAACUAACCAGCUGACUAAACAAGCAAUCACCCAACCUACUAACCAGCCUACAAACCAACUGGAUGAGCAACAGUGGAGACCACGGUUUUCUUGGGGAGACACCCUCACUGGGAA